ensembl:lncRNA
CCGCUCCCGGGCCGCCCCGCGCGGCGCUGCUCGGCGGCGUCCGACAUCGGCGGCACAUCGUGCGGAGCGCCGUCUGUCCUUCGGGGGUGUCGCGGUUGUGCGUCACACGGAGGGGCCGCGACACCAAGCGGGAGAAGCUCAGCCCGGGGCUGCGGGUCACAACGGAGGAGCGCUGCGCUCACAGAGCUGCGCGGGGCGGGGAGCCGUCCUGACAAAGCCGCGUUGUGUCCAAACGCAGACAGUGCGGAAAGCGAUGGGUCGGGUUAAGGGCGGAGAGCCGCGCGGCAGAGCAAAACGGGGGUGAAGAGAAAGCUGCUGAAGGCCGCGAGAAGUGCCGCGUGCGGUGGGAUUUCCCGCUGAUCGCCUCCCGGCCCGGCCGGCCCAGCAGCGCGCAGAGAAGCAGCCACGGAGGAGCGGCGCCGCGCGGACCGCACCGCGUCACGGCCGGGACGUCCGGGAAGGGCGGCGCAGCCCCUCCAGCCGCGGCCCAUCGGAGCGCACUGCGCGGCCCGCACGGAAAUGCCGGCAUUGAUUCGGUUGUCGCAACGCGCCUCCGUUCUGGAAAGUUUUCUUGAGCUCCUAAGAAAGGGCUCCCGAAGCAUUAAGCUCCACAGGAACGGUCUGCUUGUGGGUUACCAGAGCUGGCAGGGAUGGGGUCAGGAGCAGCGGGGCACGGGUGUGCGGUCCUGCUGUGUAUUAAAUAGCGAUUGGAGCGGAGGAGGGAGAAGGAAACCACGAAUAACAGCAGCACCGUCUGUGGGAGUCAGGUGUUGUUCUGCAGAGUAAUAAAGGACGAAGCUGAGUAAAAAGGGUCACAGAACUGCAGGGCGUGGGGAACCUGAGCAGCAGCAAAGGACUCGGUGUGAGCAGGUGGUGCACGCGGGGCACAGCCCACGCACCGGGUGGGCUCUGCUCUCUGCCAACGCCUCCUGUGUCCGCGUGGGUGCCGUAAGAAGAAGGAAACAAACGGGGAAAGAGAAAUGCAGGGGGUAGGAAGGGGCAGGCUGGAAACGAAGGAUGGGGGGAAGGUUCCGUCAGUGCCUGCAUCUGCGCUGUGCUGCUUCCUGAGCGCCGCGGUUCUCAUCAGGAGCUCCUAACGAGGUCAUGAACUGAGGGGCGAUCAAAGGGACUGCAGGGGAGCCCAGGAAAGGCGGCGAGGAGCAGAGCUGCAAAGAGGCACUCGGAGCGGUAGAACACAGAGCGUACCUCGCUAGCCAAAAACUGCCGAGAGCAUUACCUCCACGGGUACCCAAGGAGACUGAGAGCCGUAUUUGCACUCUGAAGGGUUCGUGAUGCAGCUGCUGCCAAGGCAGUGACUCAGGAGGAGGACAGAGCCCCGUGUGCCCCAUCACAGUGCCUCCAAUCUGCAGCUUCCACUGCGAGCACACGGAGCAAAGCCUUUUGUGUCGCACUUAUCGUCAGCUCUGCAAGCAGGAAAGAAGUCAAAGCAGUUUGCUGUGAAUUGCUGGCUUCAGCAGUCGCACUUCCGUGCUGUCUCUCUCCUUCACAAGUAAAGUGAAGAAAUCCAUGUGCAGAGAGCCUAACAGUGAUCUUCAAGGCCAAAAAAGGCCAUGGACUUGGAGCUCGCAGGGCAGCUUGCAGGAGGUGCAGGCAGGGAACGUCUCGCCAAGAAGCCCCGGAGCCCAAAGGGUGCGGUCAGGGAUGGAGGUGGGAACGCAUCCCCGGCCCACAUCCCCACCCAGGUGACACUGCCUGGUUCUGCUCUCGCCGGGCGCUGUCACCAUCCCCCCCCCCUCAGCAUGCUCCUUCUCGGGUGCCAUUUGGGCCCAAGAAACAGUGUAGCACGCCAUGACAUCAGACUGAGGGCUGUAAAUGUUGCGAGCACAGAAAGUUCAUUGCUGUAAGGCAGUGGUUCAUAGGGUAAGGCUGCUGGUUCCUGCUGAGCAGAGGCUGAGUGCCCCACAUCGCCCCACUGCCAACUGUGCCUUUCCCUGGGCUGCACCCACACUCAGUCCCAG